rnacentral:piRNA from 1 species
UGAAAUGCAGGCUGCUUCCAUGAGUUUGG